rnacentral:rRNA from 1 species
UACAGAGGUCUCAAGCGUUGUUCGGAUUCAUUGGGCGUAAAGGGUGCGUAGGUGGCGCUGUAAGUCGGGUGUGAAAUUUCGGAGCUUAACUCCGAAACUGCAUUCGAUACUGCGGUGCUUGAGGACUGGAGAGGAGACUGGAAUUCAUGGUGUAGCAGUGAAAUGCGUAGAGAUCAUGAGGAAGACCAGUGGCGAAGGCGGGUCUCUGGACAGUUCCUGACACUGAGCACGAAGGCCAGGGGAGCAAACGGG